AACGAACGCUGGCGGCAUGCCUAACACAUGCAAGUCGAACGAAGCCUUCGGGCUUAGUGGCGCACGGGUGCGUAACGCGUGGGAAUCUGCCCUUGGGUUCGGAAUAACAGUUAGAAAUUUGUGCUAAUACCGGAUAAUGUCUUCGGACCAAAGAUUUAUCGCCUUUGGAUGGGCCCGCGUAGGAUUAGCUAGUUGGUGAGGUAAAGGCUCACCAAGGCGACGAUCCUUAGCUGGUCUUAGAGGAUGAUCAGCCACACUGGGACUGAGACACGGCCCAGACUCCUACGGGAGGCAGCAGUGGGGAAUAUUGGACAAUGGGCGAAAGCCUGAUCCAGCAAUGCCGCGUGAGUGAUGAAGGCCUUAGGGUUGUAAAGCUCUUUUACUGGGGAUGAUAAUGACAGUACCCAGAGAAUAAGCCCCGGCUAACUCCGUGCCAGCAGCCGCCGCUG
rnacentral:rRNA from 1 species